UUUUACAAGACAACAAUAUAGAGAAAGGACGUGAUAAUUUAAACAAAACAAGAUUCAAUUCCAAAACACAACAAAUAAACUAUAUAUCAAUGUUGGAAACUGUAUUUGAAAGCGUUUGAAAUAAAUCCUAGCAAAACUUUUACCGACAAUAUCAUGUAAUUUAUACUUUAAACUUUCGUAGGUUUUCUACGCUUUUUCUUCUUGUAAACUUGAUCUUGUAUUUCUAUUUUACAAACUGAUGUUUGCCAAAGAUGAUGCAGAAGGUGGCUAUAGUAAGCCGGGCAACAGAAAGAAAGAAUAUUAUUCUCUCACGUUUUAAAAAGAAAUGAUUCUGCGUGAAACCAAUAAAGAGGAUCGAGUUCUCUUCUUUAGGUGCUUCUGUGAACAUAGGAAAUAAAUCUUCGUCAAAUACCAGUCUACGUUUAAGAAAAAGGAGCAAAGAGGAUAGUGUAGUCCUGGCUGGACUACAUCAGAAGAUUAAGACAAGGUCAUUACUGCAAUACUGGCAAAAUAUUUAUAUUAAAUAAAC